CCUACGGGAGGCAGCAGUGGGGAAUUUUCCGCAAUGGGCGAAAGCCUGACGGAGCAACGCCGCGUGAGGGAUGAAGGCCUCUGGGCUGUAAACCUCUUUUAUCAAGGAAGAAGAUCUGACGGUACUUGAUGAAUAAGCCACGGCUAAUUCCGUGCCAGCAGCCGCGGUAAUACGGGAGUGGCAAGCGUUAUCCGGAAUUAUUGGGCGUAAAGCGUCCGCAGGCGGCCCAGAAAGUCUGCUGUUAAAACGUGGAGCUUAACUCCAUCAUGGCAGUGGAAACUGUUGGGCUUGAGUGUGGUAGGGGCAGAGGGAAUUCCCGGUGUAGCGGUGAAAUGCGUAGAUAUCGGGAAGAACACCAGUGGCGAAGGCGCUCUGCUGGGCCAUAACUGACGCUCAUGGACGAAAGCCAGGGGAGCGAAAGGGAUUAGAUACCCCUGUAGUCCUANCCGUAAACGAUGAACACUAGGUGUCGGGG
rnacentral:rRNA from 1 species